rnacentral:rRNA from 1 species
GACGAACGCUGGCGGCGUGCUUAACACAUGCAAGUCGACAUGAGUGGCGGACGGGUUAAUAAUACGUGGGUUACCUGCCCUCCUCUUUGGGAUAAGCCUUAGAAACGGGGUCUACUACCGAAUAAAGGGGGAUGGGGUAGGGGCCUAUUUGCUUGUUGGAGGGGUGAUGGCCUACCAAGGCGGAGACGGGUAGCCGGCCUGAGAGGGUGACCGGCAACAUUGAGACGGGGAGACGUCCCAGGCGAGGACGCGAGGGAGCAGUGUGGGCUAUUGCACAAUGGGCGAUAGAGUGAUGCAGCGACGCCGCGUGGGGGAUGAAGGCUGUAGAGUUGUAAACGUGUUUAGGUAGCGAACGGGUAGGUGGAGAAGAAGCGCCGGCUAACUACGUGCCAGCAGCCGCGGUAAUUC